rnacentral:rRNA from 1 species
CCGCCCGUCACAUCACGAAAAGUGGGCUGCACUAGAAGCCGGUCCGCCAACCCGCAAGGGAGGCAGCCGUCCAAGGUAUGGCUCAUGAUUGGGGUG